rnacentral:lncRNA from 1 species
AGACAGCUAGCCAUGACUGCACACUGAACUUCUAGGCUUCUUUUUUUUUUUUUUUGAGAUGGAGUCUCACUCUGUCGUCCAGACUGGAGUGCAGUGGUGUGAUCUUGGCUCACUGCAAGCUCUGCCUCCUGGGUUCACACCAUUGUUCUGCCUCAACCUCCAAUCUUGGUUGUUCCCAGCUUCUUUUUAUGACCCUUGUUGAAAACCUGGGGCCUUUCCAACAUAACCUAGACAAUUUCUAUGCUACCAAAUAAAAAAAUUUAAAUAAUAAUAAUAAUAAGCCCAUAGCAAAGUAUUUUAUCCACACUGUAUAGAUACAUUACAAAAACACCUUUAUUCCUCUAAACUGAAAAGAGGAAUCAGACGUGAUUCUCUAGGCUGGAAUCCUUUAAUGGGAUGUCCACCAGAGUUCUGGUCACUUCUCUGCUGUCACUUUUGAUUGAAGCCGGCAGAGAUAUGUUUUGGCAAAUCUAGUCAUGAUUUGUCUUCCUUGCAGGGCUCUCUCUUUAAUUGUGUUUCCCAUCAGAGAGCCAGUAGGAGUUAAUAUAUUGACACUCUGCUGUGAUUGAUGACAAUCAAUGUCGUGUUAAUGUUUCUCCCAUUUUUUAACCCACAGAGCAAUGCUAAGAAGAUGUUUGGUUUAAAGAAUUAAAAG